AUUGAACGCUGGCGGCAGGCCUAACACAUGCAAGUCGAACGGUAACAGGGAUCAGCUUGCUGAUUCGCUGACGAGUGGCGGACGGGUGAGUAAUGUCUGGGAAACUGCCUGAUGGAGGGGGAUAACUACUGGAAACGGUAGCUAAUACCGCAUAACGUCGCAAGACCAAAGAGGGGGACCUUCGGGCCUCUUGCCAUCGGAUGUGCCCAGAUGGGAUUAGCUAGUAGGUGGGGUAACGGCUCACCUAGGCGACGAUCCCUAGCUGGUCUGAGAGGAUGACCAGCCACACUGGAACUGAGACACGGUCCAGACUCCUACGGGAGGCAGCAGUGGGGAAUAUUGCACAAGGGGCGCAAGCCUGAUGCAGCCAUGCCGCGUAUGAAGAAGGCCUUCGGGUUGUAAAGUACUUUCAGCGGGGAGGAAGGGAGUAAAGUUAAUACCUUUGCUCAUUGACGUUACCCGCAGAAGAAGCACCGGCUAACUCCGUG
rnacentral:rRNA from 1 species